AAUCAACGCUGGCGGCGUGCCUAACACAUGCAAGUCGAGCGAGAAAAGGGGGGCAACUCCCUGAGUACAGCGGCGCACGGGUGAGUAACACGUGGGUAAUCUGCCCUGGAGUGGGGAAUAACACCGGGAAACCGGUGCUAAUACCGCAUACGAUCACAGAGUCUGCGGAUUUUGUGAUGAAAGGAGCAAUUCGCUCUAGGAGGAGCCCGCGGCUGAUUAGCUAGUUGGUGAGGUAAUGGCUCACCAAGGCUACGAUCAGUAUCCGGUCUGAGAGGACGGUCGGACACACUGGAACUGAGACACGGCCCAGACUCCUACGGGAGGCAGCAGUGGGGAAUAUUGGACAAUGGGCGCAAGCCUGAUCCAGCCAUGCCGCGUGGGUGAUGAAGGCCCUAGGGUUGUAAAGCCCUUUCGGCGAGGAAGAUAAUGACGGUACCCGCAGAAGAAGCCCCAGCUAACUUCGUGCCAGCCGCCGCCGUAAUAC
rnacentral:rRNA from 1 species